GUGAGGAAGAUGGAAGCGUGUUCGUCCGGAGCGUUUAAUGUCCGCCGUGUUUCUGAAAAAGUGAAGAAGGGGAGCCGUAAACUUGUCUUAAGUUGCACCAAGUAGUAUUUGAGUAAUUCUGUUGUGCUGCAAGCAAGAGUACGUGUUAAAGGUCACUGGAUAUUAAACGACGCCUGAAAACCGGAUAGUGGAAGUAGUCUUUGUAACGUGAUGGCGGUAACAUACCAACAAGUCCCUUGGCGCUUCGCAUGAGAUGUUUCGUAAUCCGAAUCUGUAAAUGGCUUUGGAAUUGCAUCCCUUGUUUUGCGAUGAAGUCUCGUUUAUGUCAACAAUGCUCAUUCAAGACGUGACUGUGUGUUGUGACUUCAAGUUCAAGAAAUGACUGUGGUAUUGUGACUUUGAAGUCCAAGAAAUGACUGUGGUAUUGUGACUUCAAGUUCAAGAAAUGACUGUGGUAUUGUGACUUCAAGUUCAAGAAAUGACUGUGGUAUUGUGACUUUAAAGUCCAAGAAAUGGCUGUGGUAUUGUGACUUCAAGUUCAAGAAAUGACUGUGGUAUUGUGACUUCAAGUUCAAGAAAUGACUGUGGUAUUGUGACUUCAGGUUCAAGAAAUGACUGUGGUAUUGUGACUUCAAGUUCAAGAAAUGACUGUGGUAUUGUGACUUUAAAGUUCAAGAAAUGACUGUGGUAUUGUGGCUUCAAUUUCAAGAAAUGACUGUGGUAUCGAGAAACCCAAAUCAAGGAAAUAUCUCGGUACCAUUUAUUUCAAGACAGUUCCUGUGGUAUCGCGAAUGUAAAGCCUAAAGACAUCAUUGUUUUCUCGUGAAGUCAAAGCAUAGCAAGUAAGGGUGCUCUGUCGUACCCAGAAAUUGAUUCGAGUUAGUACUGUCAACAUACACAGAGGAAGAAUUUCUCGUGGCUCCAUGAAUGUACAACGAAGGCGAACUGUGGUAUUCAAUUUAUCAUUGAGGAAUUACUGUGGCAUCGUAAUCUUCAAGUUAUUUCAAGUCCAUUCAUAUGGUGAUACCCAACUUUAAUAGUGUAUGUACAUCGCCACUACAAGUUAAAGGAAAUUUUUUAUGGCAUAAUGAAUCGCAAGUUUAAAGACUAACACCACAGAAAACUGCUGGGGGCUUCGGCCAUCAAAAGUCAAGGUAGAUAUAAUUUGUAUUUCCAUCUUUUUUUUUAUUGCACCGACAUUUAUUAGAUAUAAUAUGCGGCUGCACAGGGCUUUAUUACAGAUCGCAGUUAUUUGCAAAGGUUAAUUACCUCAAUGCUGUUCAUCAAAUAUGUAUAUAAAGCGUAGUACAUCGCGUUUGAUAACUUACGUCAUUAUCCAAUAUUAGUUGAUAACUUUAUUCAAAAGUAAUUAUGAAUGAUGGAAAUUGGCUCCGAUGAUAAGUUAUUGUGACCAUGAAUUAAACAGAUAUAUUGUGAAUAUUAAUUAGGACGUGAUGCAGAUGUGUUUUCGAUGGAAAACCCGCGGUUGAUUUUAAAUGGAAAAAAUAGAAAACUUUUGAGACAUAUAAAAA